ACGUAGGGUGCAAGCGUUAAUCGGAAUUACUGGGCGUAAAGCGUACGCAGGCGGCUUUGCAAGACAGGUGUGAAAUCCCCGGGCCUAACCUGGGAACUGCAUUUGUUACUGCAUCGCUAGAGUCUGUCAGAGGGGGGUGGAAUUCCACGUGUAGCAGUGAAAUGCGUAGAGAUGUGGAAGAACACCGAUGGCGAAGGCAGCCCCCUGGGAUGAGACUGACGCUCAUGUACGAAAGUGUGGGGAGCAAACAGGAUUAGAUACCCUGGUAGUCCACGCCCUAAACGAUGUCAACUGGUUGUGGGAAGGGUUCCCUUUCAGUAACGAAGCAAACGCGUGAAGUUGACCGCCUGGGGAGUACGGCCGCAAGGUUG
rnacentral:rRNA from 1 species